GCAGGGGUGGGGACAGAGAGAGAGGGAAACACAGAAUACGAAGCAGGCUCCAGGCUCUGAGCUGUCAGCACAGAGCCCGACGUGGGGCUCGAACUCAUGGACUGUGAGAUCAUGACCCGAGCCGAAGUCGGACGCACAACCGACUGAGCCGCCCAAGCACCCCUCAAAAUGCCAUUUUAAAAAAUUCUAUUACAUCGACUAAAACUGCUUCCAAUUUUUUUUUUCUGCAUUCUCCAGGAACACUGAUUUUAAUGAACCAACCCACAAGCGUUGCGUAAUUUGAAAGUUGUGGCCCCUGAAUGAGCGCUUCCAGGGAGAAGCUACUAGAAGCCCUGGCUAAUCAGACACCUGCCUGCCUGCAUUCCAGCUAAUGAUCACAAACCAAAGGCAGAGGGAGCACAGGGACCAAGGAGGCCUCACACAUAAAUGGCGCACCUGGAUCCCUGACAGACUUCAGGGAAUUUUGGAAUAAGCAUCUGAAACAAAGGUGAGUUGCAUUAAGCUAUUGAGAUUUGGGGCGUGUUUGUCACAGCAGCACAACCUAU
rnacentral:lncRNA from 1 species